ACAGGUGCUGCAUGGCUGUCGUCAGCUCGUGUUGUGAAAUGUUGGGUUAAGUCCCGCAACGAGCGCAACCCUUAUCCUUUGUUGCCAGCGGUCCGGCCGGGAACUCAAAGGAGACUGCCAGUGAUAAACUGGAGGAAGGUGGGGAUGACGUCAAGUCAUCAUGGCCCUUACGACCAGGGCUACACACGUGCUACAAUGGCGCAUACAAAGAGAAGCGACCUCGCGAGAGCAAGCGGACCUCAUAAAGUGCGUCGUAGUCCGGAUUGGAGUCUGCAACUCGACUCCAUGAAGUCGGAAUCGCUAGUAAUCGUGGAUCAGAAUGCCACGGUGAAUACGUUCCCGGGCCUUGUACACACCGCCCGUCACACCAUGGGAGUGGGUUGCAAAAGAAGUAGGUAGC
rnacentral:rRNA from 1 species